rnacentral:rRNA from 1 species
UUGGAGGGCAAGUCUGGUGCCAGCAGCCGCGGUAAUUCCAGCUCCAAUAGCGUAUAUUAAAGUUGUUGCAGUUAAAAAGCUCGUAGUUGAAUUUCGGGGUUCUACCGUUGGUCGGGCAAUAGUCUGUACUGGCGUGUGGAAUUUCUACCUUCUGGGGAACCAUCAUGUUAUUAAUUAGCGUGGUGGGAAACCCGGACCUUUACCUUGAAAAAAUUAGAGUGUUCAAAGCAGGCUUACGUCUGAAUACAUUAGCAUGGAAUAAUAAAAUAGGACGGUGGUCCUGUUUUGUUGGUUUCUGAAUCACCGUAAUGAUUAAUAGGGAUAGUUGGGGGCAUUAGUAUUCAAUUGUCAGAGGUGAAAUUCUUGGAUUUAUUGAAGACUAACUUCUGCGAAAGCAUUUGCCAAGGAUGUUUUCAUUAAUCAAGAACGAAAGUUAGGGGAUCGAAGACGAUCAGAUACCGUCGUAGUCUUAACCAUAAACUAUGCCGACUAGGGAUCGGACGAUGUUAAUUUUUCUUGACUCGUUCGGCGCCUUACGGGAAAC